rnacentral:rRNA from 1 species
CAUAGGUUAAUGAGGCGAACCGGGGGAACUGAAACAUCUAAGUACCCCGAGGAAAAGAAAUCAACCGAGAUUCCCCCAGUAGCGGCGAGCGAACGGGGAGGAGCCCAGAGCCUGAAUCAGCAUGUGUGUUAGUGGAAGCGUCUGGAAAGGCGCGCGAUACAGGGUGACAGCCCCGUACACAAAAGCGCAUGUGCUGUGAGCUCGAUGAGUAGGGCGGGACACGUGGUAUCCUGUCUGAAUAUGGGGGGACCAUCCUCCAAGGCUAAAUACUCCUGACUGACCGAUAGUGAACCAGUACCGUGAGGGAAAGGCGAAAAGAACCCCGGCGAGGGGAGUGAAAAAGAACCUGAAACCGUGUACGUACAAGCAGUGGGAGCACCCUUUGGGGUGUGACUGCGUACCUUUUGUAUAAUGGGUCAGCGACUUAUAUUCUGUAGCAAGGUUAACCGAAUAGGGGAGCCGGAGGGAAACCGAGUCUUAAUUGGGCGUUAAGUUGCAGGGUAUAGACCCGAAACCCGGUGAUCUAGCCAUGGGCAGGUUGAAGGUUGGGUAACACUAACUGGAGGACCGAACCGACUAAUGUUGAAAAAUUAGCGGAUGACCUGUGGCUGGGGGUGAAAGGCCAAUCAAACCGGGAGAUAGCUGGUUCUCCCCGAAAGCUAUUUAGGUAGCGCCUCGUGAAUUCAUCUCCGGGGGUAGAGCACUGUUUCGGCUAGGGGGCCAUCCCGGCUUACCAACCCGAUGCAAACUGCGAAUACCGGAGAAUGUUAUCACGGGAGACACACGGCGGGUGCUAACGUCCGUCGUGAAGAGGGAAACAACCCAGACCGCCAGCUAAGGUCCCAAAGUCAUGGUUAAGUGGGAAACGAUGUGGGAAGGCCCAGACAGCCAGGAUGUUGGCUUAGAAGCAGCCAUCAUUUAAAGAAAGCGUAAUAGCUCACUGGUCGAGUCGGCCUGCGCGGAAGAUGUAACGGGGCUAAACCAUGCACCGAAGCUGCGGCAGCGACGCUGAUGCGUUGUUGGGUAGGGGAGCGUUCUGUAAGCCUGCGAAGGUGGCCUGUGAGGGUUGCUGGAGGUAUCAGAAGUGCGAAUGCUGACAUAAGUAACGAUAAAGCGGGUGAAAAGCCCGCUCGCCGGAAGACCAAGGGUUCCUGUCCAACGUUAAUCGGGGCAGGGUGAGUCGACCCCUAAGGCGAGGCCGAAAGGCGUAGUCGAUGGGAAACGGGUUAAUAUUCCCGUACUUGGUGUUACUGCGAAGGGGGGACGGAGAAGGCUAUGUUGGCCGGGCGACGGUUGUCCCGGUUUAAGCGUGUAGGUGUGUGUUCCAGGUAAAUCCGGUUCACUUUAACACUGAGGCGUGAUGACGAGGCACUACGGUGCUGAAGCAACAAAUGCCCUGCUUCCAGGAAAAGCCUCUAAGCAUCAGGUAACAUCAAAUCGUACCCCAAACCGACACAGGUGGUCAGGUAGAGAAUACCAAGGCGCUUGAGAGAACUCGGGUGAAGGAACUAGGCAAAAUGGUGCCGUAACUUCGGGAGAAGGCACGCUGACACGUAGGUGAAGUGAUUUACUCAUGGAGCUGAAGUCAGUCGAAGAUACCAGCUGGCUGCAACUGUUUAUUAAAAACACAGCACUGUGCAAACACGAAAGUGGACGUAUACGGUGUGACGCCUGCCCGGUGCCGGAAGGUUAAUUGAUGGGGUCAGCGCAAGCGAAGCUCCUGAUCGAAGCCCCGGUAAACGGCGGCCGUAACUAUAACGGUCCUAAGGUAGCGAAAUUCCUUGUCGGGUAAGUUCCGACCUGCACGAAUGGCGUAAUGAUGGCCAGGCUGUCUCCACCCGAGACUCAGUGAAAUUGAACUCGCUGUGAAGAUGCAGUGUACCCGCGGCAAGACGGAAAGACCCCGUGAACCUUUACUAUAGCUUGACACUGAACAUUGAGCCUUGAUGUGUAGGAUAGGUGGGAGGCUUUGAAGUGUGGACGCCAGUCUGCAUGGAGCCGGCCUUGAAAUACCACCCUUUAAUGUUUGAUGUUCUAACGUGGACCCGUGAUCCGGGUUGCGGACAGUGUCUGGUGGGUAGUUUGACUGGGGCGGUCUCCUCCUAAAGAGUAACGGAGGAGCACGAAGGUUGGCUAAUCCUGGUCGGACAUCAGGAGGUUAGUGCAAUGGCAUAAGCCAGCUUGACUGCGAGCGUGACGGCGCGAGCAGGUGCGAAAGCAGGUCAUAGUGAUCCGGUGGUUCUGAAUGGAAGGGCCAUCGCUCAACGGAUAAAAGGUACUCCGGGGAUAACAGGCUGAUACCGCCCAAGAGUUCAUAUCGACGGCGGUGUUUGGCACCUCGAUGUCGGCUCAUCACAUCCUGGGGCUGAAGUAGGUCCCAAGGGUAUGGCUGUUCGCCAUUUAAAGUGGUACGCGAGCUGGGUUUAGAACGUCGUGAGACAGUUCGGUCCCUAUCUGCCGUGGGCGCUGGAGAACUGAGGGGGGCUGCUCCUAGUACGAGAGGACCGGAGUGGACGCAUCACUGGUGUUCGGGUUGUCAUGCCAAUGGCACUGCCCGGUAGCUAAAUGCGGAAGAGAUAAGUGCUGAAAGCAUCUAAGCACGAAACUUGCCCCGAGAUGAGUUCUCCCUGAGACUUAGAGUCUCCUGAAGGAACGUUGAAGACGACGACGUUGAUAGGCCGGGUGUGUAAGCGCAGCGAUGCGUUGAGCUAACCGGUACUAAUGAACCGUGAGGCUUAACCUUACA